rnacentral:rRNA from 1 species
GAUGAACGCUGGCGGCGUGCCUAAUACAUGCAAGUCGAGCGAACGGACGAGAAGCUUGCUUCUCUGAUGUUAGCGGCGGAAGGGUGAGUAACACGUGGAUAACCUACCUAUAAGACUGGGAUAACUUCGGGAAACCGGAGCUAAUACCGGAUAAUAUUUUGAACCGCAUGGUUCAAAAGUGAAAGACGGUCUUGCUGUCACUUAUAGAUGGAUCCGCGCUGCAUUAGCUAGUUGGUAAGGUAACGGCUUACCAAGGCAACGAUGCAUAGCCGACCUGAGAGGGUGAUCGGCCACACUGGAACUGAGGCACGGUCCAGACUCCUACGGGAGGCAGCAGUAGGGAAUCUUCCGCAAUGGGCGAAAGCCUGACGUAGCAACGCCGCGUGAGUGAUGAAGGUCUUCGGAUCGUAAAACUCUGUUAUUAGGGAAGAACAUAUGUGUAAGUAACUGUGCACAUCUUGACGGUACCUAAUCAGAAAGCCACGGCUAACUACGUG